GUGGGCCGCGGGGCGGGGCCAGGGCGGGUGCGCGGCGGCGGCGGGGUGGCUGGGCCGGCGGCGGCGGCGGUACGAGGCGCGCGCUCGGGGUCCCGGUCGCGAGGAGGAGGAGGAUGUGGCGCGCGGAGGGGAAAUGGCUGCCGAAAACAAGCCGGAAGAGCGUUUCCCAAAGUGUAUUCUGCGGAACUAGCACCUACUGUGUUCUCAACACCGUGCCACCUAUAGAAGAUGAUCAUGGGAACAGCAAUAGUAGUCAUGUAAAAAUCUUUUUACCGAAAAAGCUGCUUGAAUGUCUGCCGAAAUGUUCAAGUUUACCCAAAGAGAGGCACCGCUGGAACACUAAUGAGGCUCUCACCACACACUUGUUCAUGGGCGCAGCAAGAAGAGGGACCCACAGAGCUGGAGCCAUGAGGGCUGAUACAUGGGAGGAAGUCGUCAGAGCGCAUAGGGAAAGCUUUCCAUCCUGCCAGCUCCAUGUUUUCUUCAGGACAGUUAUAUUAGUAAAUUAAUUGUACUUUAAACCCUAAGUUUAUAUGAACUGAAUGUUACUAAAAACGAAAUAGAUUCCAGUGACCUAUUCUUACUUCAUCCAGAGUGACUGAAAGAGUACAGCAGCCACUUAUCUUGGGGAGUGGCUGGCAGCACAUACGCCCUGUGUUCCUGUUGCCCCCAGCAAACUUUCCUUUUCUUAUUACCACAGCAAUGACCUGUUUAUGUGUGCAUUACUGCCUCCCAAAGAAUGGAAGCUCCAUGCGAGCAGGGCCUGCUGCUGUCUCUGUCUCCAGCACACAGGGCAGCUCCUGUUACAUCAAUAAAUGCUGUUCGGUGAACUAGUGGGCCACUAGUGUUGCGUCCUUUCUCAGACUUUAAUUUGCUGUUUAUGUGCUAUACGCCAUUGAAAAUGGUAAUGUAUGUAGGAAGUCUUGUUUUGUAGCUAGUUCAGGGAGAUACAAGAAGCCAGAGUAGCCAAGAUGAUGGGAUUAUGAAUUGCAGAGCCACUGUGUGUUGUGCUCAUGACGCCUGUGUAGCAGCAGCAGGCAGAUUCGAAUGUGAGUCACUUCACUGGCAUGGGGUAGCAUGACCGACCGUCACUGAGGAGAGUCCAGGAAUGUAGAAAAGCAGCAGAGACCCUGAAUCAUGUCCUCAGGUAUCUAGUGAUCCCAGUGACAGUUCAGGGGCUGUCUAGUGAGCAGACAUUUACCAGGACAAGUGGAGCUGGAGGUAAUAGCAUUUUGGCCGUCAGUAGACUACACACACUUAGCGCCUCAUGAGAGGUUAAGACUUUGUGGUCCCAGGACUGGCUUAGUCUAUGGGGUAGGUGCACUCUGUGGUAUUCCUAUGUUGCCCAGAGUACCCAUGGGCCAGUUGUUAAGCAUGCAUGUCCGCAUGUAGAGAAUAACAACAUAAGUCCUGGCCCAGCAGCCUUCACUCUCCAUCUCUGUCCUUUGUGUAUCUGUGGAGGUCACAAUACCAAUAUUACUCCUGCAACUCUUGAGUUUUUGUUUUGUAACAGACUAAGAAGCCAGUCUCCUGUGAUGUGGGCCGUUGUCUCAAGGUGAGUCUGUAGUGAUGGUGGCUUGUGAGGACAGGUGUGCAGAGCCAAACUUCUCUAGGGCAGUUUAUCACCUGUCAGCUUUGUGCAUCUCAGUUGUAAACUUUAUUACACACAGAAGCAGUCAACUAAAACCAUGACAGAGAGCCAAUCAAACCCAAGUUUUCCUCACUUGGUUCAGUCAAACCAGACUCAGCCAUUUUAAGGAAAGCACAGGCCAGACCUUUCUGAAUCACACAGCAAGCCCAGAAGCUGAAGCUGUUACAUGGUGCUCUUCACACCAGGCAUGUCACUCAGUGAUUUUGAAUGUGACCUUUCCCUCCAAUGGAAGCGUAAGAAGUGGUAUAGUUUUUGAGCUGAGAAUAUAAUUGCAGGAAAUGAGGCAGAGCUCACAGACCCCUCUCAAAAUUGUGUGUAUGAGUAAAUCCUGGUGGAGGAUUCAGGGUAAGGGUGAGGUAACUCGUUUAGAACAGCAACCCAGGACAUGGUGAACACCACUACAUGCUCUUCAUUCUUAGAGGGGUUGAAUUUCCCCUUAAAGUGCACUGUGACUUUGUUACGGUCAACGUCUCCUUUCUGAUUCAUCAAACUUCUCAGAUUAAGAAACCAACUCGUCUUUCUUGGUUGGUGCUCCUGUUAUAUGCCUGUGUGAAAGGAGCUGGGAGAGGCAGACCAGGUUACAGAUCGCAUGGGCCAAAGAUGGAAGAGAAGUGAAGUUCUUCAUGUCUGCUUUUAUUUUGAAAUGUCUUUUUAUCACUCUAAAGAUCUGAUUGGCUUACUGUUAUUUACAUAUGUACAUAUGCUUCUGCUCUCUCUCUGUGUGUGUGUGUACACCUUUAGGUUUUAUGGGGUUCAGAUUGUUUUAAGUCACUGUUAAAAUCACAUAUUUAGCACUUCAUCCAUUUAAAAUCUAGUUCUCAUUCAGUGUUCCUGUAGUUUAAAUUAUAUAUCAUAAGCUUUUAAAGAGUGAUGGCUUGAGUUAGUGCCCUCUGCUGGUACACAGAGGACAUCAGGCAGAGGGACUUUGACCCAGGAGCCUUGAUAGAGGAGCCACUUUACGUGGAGAUUGUUUUUGUCAGCUUUUCCAUGUUAUUUUGAAUGGUUGCUUGGUUGCUGAUUUACACCCACUCAAAUUUUGCCUUUUUUCUUGUGUUUCAUGCCUGUCAGUUACUCCACUAAGCCUGGGCCAUGGGGUUGACUUAGCAUCAGCUUCAUUCAACUUGAAAGCAGAGCUCUGAGUGAGGGACUUCUCAGAUGGGCUUGCUCUAUGAAAAUAUGCAGGCAUUUAGAUUUCCCAGGGGGGAUCUAUGAAAUAAUUUUAGAUGCAUUCCUUACUCUGCCUUUUCGAGAAGGGGCAUUGCUGUCAGUACUUGGAUUAAGAAAAAGUACUCCCUGCUAGCUUUGUAUGAUCUACAGGCACAGCUUGGCCCGAACGUGGUGGGUAGGUAGAUCUUCAUGGCCUUAUUUACUCCCCUGGUGUUCUCUGGAGCCAGCUUUCCCACUGAGGUCCCCUGGCGAGAUUCUAUUACUCUGGAUUUUGGCAUCAGGUAGAGCAGACACUGAAUCUGUCUCUAGCUCUGUCCAACCUUAGGGCCUGGGGACGCGGCUCUGCCUUAUGCGGACCAUUGUGAAGUAGGGAGGAAGCCCAGUGUGUGUGUCAGACCCUGAAGAGAAUAGAGCUAAAAGAUGGGCUUGAGGGCCCAUCAGAUCAACCUUCCUGCAUGGCUGCUGAAGAAAGACGUUUCCUCCACUUAACAGCAAGCUCUGCCUUUGGUACAUAAAAGACAAUUUAAAAAAAAAAACACCCUUAUUUUGGGUUAGCUUCAUAAUUUAACGACAAAGUUACAAAGAUGAGACUUGAGUUCACACACACCACUUUGAUGCUGCUGGGUUUUCGUGAAGAGUGUCUUUAUAAUCAGUGCACCUGGGUCAAAUUGGGUUUUGGUGUCCACUUAGCAUCUGGCUGGACACUGAAAUGUUUGCCUUCAGUACCUGAGUUUCCACUGCAGGUAGAUCUGGCACUUGUCCCAGACCACCUUCUAUUUUGGCUUCAUUCCAUGUCUCUGGCUAUUUGAUGCUAGAAACACUUUCUGCGAUUUUCCAGCAUCUAAUGUGUAAGUAUUCUCCCUAUUUUUUGUUCUUACUGAUAUGUGCAGCCUAAGGAGAGAGGGGUGGCAUCAUGUCCAGUGCUGCAUUUUUGUAAUCUCUUAGCUGCUUCUCUCUCAUACACUUAGAUUGAAGACAAUGUAGAAGUAUGUCUGCUCUCAAAACGAGUAAAUGAUCCCCAAAUGUUUCUUUAGAAAGGUAAAAAAUCUUUCAGUUCAAACCCCUUUAACGCACAUCCUAAUCUAGUCUGCUAGCUGAUGUUAGUACAUUUAUUGAAAUGCAUGGAAACCCCUUGAAGCUUAUGUACUUCAGUUUAAGAAAGUGACAUGCCAGACACUUGUCACCUGGCUUCUUCAUGCUAAGGAUGAGAAGGGAGAGCUUUGUCUCUUUUUCAUGAGCCAGAUGAUGUAAGAGGAUCAGGGGUUGAUAUGGUGGAGGGUCACAGUGAGAACACAGACCCUGGUCCUAACCAUUGUGCAAGCAGCCCAGCACCUCUAGCACAUAGCUCCUAUAACAUGCCGGUUUGAAAAGGCUGCUGUCCUCUGCAUUGAGAAUCGUGCUGACAUCAGGCUGUUCAUGCAUAAUAAUUCUUUGAUGCCCUGUAGGCAGUUCCCUUCUUCUAGACUGUUAUCACCUGUUCUGGAAUUGACAUUGUUAGGCUUGAAGAAACCAGGGCUAAGGCAUCACGGGCUCAUCUGUAAGUGAUGGCUGGGUUGAACCAUGGGCAUCAUAAUGGCUCCAGAGUAACUGGGGCUGCUUCCCUGAGGCUUAGCAACUCUAAUCUGGGUGCAUGCUGUGCUGCAGAUAAACCUCGGCAGCAGAGAGAUGUGCAGCAUCUUUUUGUAAGUGCCACUGAGCUAUUUGAAAGAGAUACUCGGCAAGGGUAAGUUCUUGAGAAGAUAGCAGAACGUCUUAGAGAAGUGUUAGAAUGUGGAUGGAAACAGCAGAGCAUCCCCAGAGAUGUUUGCAUGUAUGACAGAGGUGGCCGUGUGUUAGAUAAAUUAGAAUACUCUACCCCUUACUGUCCUACGAAAAUUAAAUACUGUUGUCAUGUGCGUUGCUCUUCUUUGCUUUUGGUUUAUGUCCAUUUCUAAGAACAGCUCAGCAGAGUCCCUUAUACUGAGAGUUGUGGUAACAGCACACGUUACCACAACUUUGAGGCUUCAAGUAUCAGCCAUGGUGGUAAGUUUGGUAGGUAGCAUCUGUCGCUUUGCUCUUCUGCUCUUUGGAGAUUUGGCUCCAGCUGGUUUUAUAGUUGCUGUAUAACUGAGGACAGUCUUUAGUUUCUGAUUCCCUGCCUUCACUUCCUGAGUGCCACCUUUUUUAUUUUGGAAUAGUCUUUGUAGCCCUGGCUAUCCUGGAACUCAGCAUGUACACCAGACCUUGAACUCAAGAGUUCCUCCUGCCCCUGCCUCCAGAAUGCUGGGAUGAAAGAUGUGUGCCAUGAAGACCUUUUCAGUCUUUAGGAAAGGUGGCUUUACAGAGACGGCUGGAUUGCGCUAAGUUUUGAUCCUCUGAAAGCCUAUUGGCUUCAUCGAAGCUGAAAACAUGUCUGGAGUCUGUCUGUUGUAGUCUGGCACCAGAGGUUCAGGAGAGCUGUCCAGUAUCACUUUCUGGUGGUUGUCCUUAAAAUUUCUAGUGUCCCUUGUGCAGAUUGUGAUUGUUGUUGGUUUGUGUGCUAUCUUUAUAAAACAUCAGACAGUCUGCUGGAAUGGAUGAACUUUGAACUCUGUAAUCCUAUAACAGAGACAGUCUCAGGUUGCCAGAAUCCAGGAUGAAGAUUCCUAGGGGAGUUUUACAUCAACAGUGAGUUAUUUUCCUCCUAUGGGAAUGGCCAUAGUGCCUUCUACGUUUGCAGUAUGAGCUGUCCAGCCUACCAUUUGAGGUUCUUAACACUUCCCUUUCUCUUGUGUUGAACUCUGUAACCACUUCCUGAUCCUAACUGGAAGAAUGAUUACAAUUUCAGUUUGUAUAAAAACUCCAAACCAUCAGGCCUACUCCCCACUUACCAAGAACUGGUCAUCCAAAUAGUGAAGCCACAGGUGGCGCCUGUCUACAUGUCUGUCACCUUUCCCACCACAGAGAUACCAGAAAGUGAGCAGAGUCUAGUUGGGAAUGAAGAUCUGAGCUGCUUGGUGCCUGUGGCAAAGACAGGGAAACAGGUAGGUCGGUAGCUUGUGUGAAGGUUGGUGGAACCUGGGACCGAGUCUUUCUUUUCAAUGCUUGCAUGACGGCCCUGCACUUACAGAGGCCUUUAAAGUAGGUUUUGCAUUUUAAGUUGAGUUUUGAGAACCAGCUAUUCACUGUGCAAGCUAAGUUGCUGGGAAGUUUGUUUUAAAGAUGCAAGCACCCUCUAUUUCAGUGAACCCAGUAAAAAUAGCACGGAAUAAAAUUUAAUUAUGCUGUACUGAAUAUUUCAUGUGGAAUUAAGGGGCAGAGCUGCCUUUAAAAAGCAUUAGGUUUGGGAAGAAGAAAGGCUUUGUAGGUUCUUUGGAAGAUGCUAUAAUUAAAAGAUUUGCUCAAAUGUAUUUUCUCCCUUUUUGAAGAGUUUAAAGAAAUCCAUCCAUCCUUCCCUAAAUUGAUUCUUUCUCCAGUGUCAUUGCUGUCUGGCAGUCAGCAUGCUGCCAUGGCACCGAUUUGAUGGCCGAUUUCUAUCAAAUGUAGUUUGUUUUUUAAUCCUCUGAUUUAAGACAUUUAAUAGAAAGCAAAUGUUUGGCUUACUUUGGUUUCUGCUGAACCUGUAUUUAAACCCACAAACAGUUUGAAUAAAGCGAAGGCACCACUGGACUAGCUAUUUUAAACAUCUCAGGAUGUAAGAAUGCUAAAUGGAGUUCCCUUUUAAAAAUAGAAAUGGCUGCUUGCAUUUACAUAAUUACUGCUAACUAGCACAACAUUUUAAACAGUGAUAAACUCAAGCUACAGAAAGUACCUGCUUUAAAAUGCCUGGUGAUAGGAAGGUGAUCUGUGAGUGGUGCUGCUGAUGGAGGGCCUCAGAGCCAGGCUCUUCAGGAAGGAGGGGAGUGGGCAGAGAGGGGCGGCUCCUGCAGGGUCUGCCUAAUGCAUUGGAGUCUGCAUCUGUGUUAAAAGCUGCUGAGGGCUGAAACCAGUGUUGGUGAGAGAGCACAGGAGUGAAGAUGAAGGGCAAGCUGGCCUGGGCCACACCUGCAGUCCCUGCACUGGGGAGACUGAGGCAAAACUGAGUUUGUAGCCUGGGCUGAGUAUGCCCUGUCUCAUAGAACAGAAACAGGUUUGGGUUUUUUUGUUUUUUGGUUUUUGGUUUUGGUUUUGGUUUUGGUUUUGGUUUUUCGAGACAGGGUUUUUCUGUAUAGCCCUGGCUGUCCUGGAACUCACUCUGUAGACCAGGCUGGCCUCGAACUCAGAAAUCCACCUGUCUCUGCCUCCCGAGUGCUGAGAUCAAAGGCGUGCGCCACCACCGCCCAGCAACAUACACAGUUUAUACAAACUCAUUGGUUAAAGCUAGAACUCUGGAGUGUCCAUGAUUUUGCCUUUCCCCAUCUCAAACAUCUGAUCCAUCUGUCAGUCCUGUUUCCCUCUAACCUGGAUCAGACUGUACGUCUCCACCCAGCACCAGGUCUCCUCCUCUUUUGCUGGAUAACUGCUCCAUUUCCUACUUGGGCUCCCUGCCUCUCUUUGCCUCCCUGUGCAGAAGUGAGAGUGGCAGUUGUAUACUUUGAGUACCUUUGGUCUGCCUCCACAUUCUCCCUGUUCCCCCGACUCCCUACAUCCCCUGCCUCCCGUCCCGACUUACUGACUCAACCUCUAGUUACUGAGGCUGUCCACACCUGGAGCAUAUCAGACAUGGCUCUUUUAGGCACUUCCUGUUUUGUCUACCUGGAAAGCUUUGCCAUCAGCCUUUUCUCGAUUGUAUGUGCUGGCUCCUCUGUACCAGCUGAGGCUCGUUCCGAGGAUCGUCUCCUCAAGAUGAUGCCACUGCCAUAUUCAGUCUGCAUCAUUCACACUGAAUCUUUGUUUAUUAGUCAAGCAGUUGUUUCCUUACCUUGGCUUCUGCCUCCUCCCCAUCACAUGAGCGCUCUCAGGUCUGCCUUCCUCAGCUGUGUUCCUAGCAGUCAAACGCCUGGAGAACACAGGUAGCUUGUUGACUGUGUGUGGAAGGAGGCUGCCCUCAGAGGACGUGUCGUGUGGACACUCGACUCCAGACGGGAUGGAGAGCUAAUGCCCUGCUUCUUGUCUACGGUAUGAGCUUGCUAGGUGUCUGACUUCCUGGCUGGGGCCAGGGAGCUAGCAUGGCCUGACUCUGCAGAGGCAGAAGCCAUUUCUUGUGGCUUCUGUGAUAUCUCUCUGUCGAGUAUGAUAAGGACACUCCAGGUUUAACAGUCACUCUGGCCUGGAAACAGAUUUGUUAAGAUACAGGUAUUGGCAGAAAUCUAGACCUCAGCUAGCAGCAUCUGGCUUUUUAGUCUCCCCCACCCCCAACAAUACCAGAUCUGGGGAGAAAAUAUAGAAGCUGUUGAUACUUGGAAAAGUGAGAGUGAUCACGUAGCUAGUUGGACCUUUUACACAAAACUUACUCAGGGAAGAGAAAAGUUACAUUUCCAACUUAGAGUUUUGGAUAGAUCCUGCCUCUCCAAACUGUCUGCUGAAGUACUCACUCUGGUCUUGAAUGUGCUAGUUGGCAACUGGGUUGUGAAACUCGGGAGACCUGACUGCUGAGCAAAAGCUCCUGGUGGGAGUUUCCAUUCUUGUUGCUAUCUUUAUCAGGGCAUUUUAUAGUGAUUGGGUUGUAAACAGUGUCUUCUCUGUUAAUCUAUAGUAAAAUGGACUCUUUUUGUUUUUUCUAACUGAGACAUGGUUGCUGCUCCUUGGAGCGGGAAGACUUGGGACAUCUUUGGAAUGUCAUUUUAUCAGCUGAGGUGGCUGAAGAUUCUCCUGUUUGAUUGGAGCCUAAUGCCAUGGAAAUACAGGUGCUAUGAUUGCCCAGCUAGGAACCAGGUUGAACUUGGAGUGAACAAAGUGGGAACAGAGCAGCUGGCCUGUUCUGACCACUUGUCAGUGCUGUGUAUGCCAGUGAGGGGAUUAAACAAGAUUGUUGACCACUGUUGGAAGAGCAGCCGCAGGUUUCCCAUGGCAGUGAGUGGAUGUGUUUAAGAUCAGCAGCACGUGGGGAGAAGAGUUGGUGUCCAUUGGUCUCCGGAAUCUGAGUUCCUCGUGAACUUUCCCUCUCACUGGGCAAUCUGUUACAUCAUGCCAUCAAAUCCCAUCACUUAGGACUGGGCCGAGGGUGGAUGGUGUUUGAAGUUAACAAGGUGGCUUAGUUCAACACACCUGGCUGCUACUGGUCAGUGGCCCCGGGGUUGAAAGGCCAUGUAACUCCUACUCCUGUUAGAACUUGUGUGUACAGUGAAUUUGGUGCUGUCUGGCAAACAGGAGUGAUCACUUCUGAGUCCUCUGAUGAGUCAUGAGGUAAUGGGAUUGGUGCUUUUGUACAUGCUGGUUGGAGUUGGUGGGCCAUGAGUGUCACCCUGGAUAGUCCCCACUCGCACUCAGUCUCUUCCCCAAGUCUUAGAAGAGUUUCCUACCAGGAAGGGCCAUGCUCUUCCAGCCUUUCUCUCUAUGGCUGACAUACUUACAUUGAGUUCUAGAUAAAUACAUGUCUAUAAUUUCUCUCAUCUUUGCAGGGUCAUGCCUAGAGGUGUCUGAUAACACCCCUGACUCUUACAUUGUCCCCUAAGAUGGCAGCUCCAGAGGUUCAGUUCCUGGACAGGCUCACUCUGGUUUUGGUACCAUGGUUGGCUGAUUGUUUCCUGAAAUUGGUUGAGGAGAUUAAAUAUUUGUUAAACUUAUUGUAUGCCCUGACUGAGAGAACUAAUCACUGUGCUUGUUUAACAGGGCCCGUCUGCUGCUCACUCCUCCAGUUUAUUGGUAAUACAUUGUCUUCAAGCAGGCUCACAGGUUGAAGUUCACAGGGGGUGCCGAGUGGUGGGAUUACUGUAGGAUUGGUACGUGAGUCGGCCUCUGAAGAUGGCACAGAUGGUUUUCCAGGGGCUACUCAGGAAAGGCACUGGGAAGGCGUUCCUGAGUGGCAGCUUAGCUUGCUGGCUGAAUGAGCCUGAUUUCUAAAAGUACCUGUAGCCUCUUCGCAUAUUGACCUCCCAGCAGGUAAAUGUGAAGCCAUGGCCUUCCUUGUUCAACAUAACAUUUUUAAAAAUCUAGAAAUGGAUCAUGUCCAUCCAACAUCAAGGUAGCCUGACUGUCCGUCCCCUUCCUCUGUGUUCACAGGCCUAUACUGAAACUUAGGUAUGUCUCUAGGGUCUGCGAGGUCAUCUGACCUCGGAUACAGCUCUCAAGCAUGGAGCUUUGUCAGCUGUGCACCAUUAUGGGCAUGUACCCAGCCUGCUUAUCCACCUUGGAUGCAUGUGGAUGAUAAAUAGUCACCAGCGCCCCACGAUAGCUGAAAGGCACACUCCAGCCAGUGUGUGCUGGGCUGUAGGCUUUCCUGAUGGAUGGCGCCUAUUCUGGGAAGCAGCUUACUGUCUCACGUGAACAGGCCUUCGAAAAUAAAUGACUGCUUUCUUAAUGUUUUGAAUCAUUUUCCUCAGCACAUGUUUUGUUGCCGUGGUUUGAAAGCUUGCCAAAUAUAUGCUUUUGCACAACUCCCUGCAGGGCUGGGUCUGCAAUCGGCACAAACAGUGAUUUAAGGUUGAGCAUAAUUGGGAACUCAGCAAUCACUUGCCUGUAGUUUGAUCGAAGGGCAGUGGAUUGCUGGAGACUUACUCCUCUGUUAAAAGUUAUCUACAUAUAAGGCGUGCACACAGCUCCACUGCCUCACAGGAGAGAAGUGGGUGUAUGAGGCACCGGGUGAGAGCCUGGGCAUGGUAGAGGGGCAGCCUCUGUGGUGAAGGCUGUAAUUAACUCUGAAUAAGUUCUUGCAGAUGCCACCAUAGAUGCAACUGAGGGCCAUAGUCAGAUCGUGUCACUGCAGGAGGGACAGAAACAGUCACAUGGCAGAAAUGCCUUUGCAGCCUUUGUUUUAUCUGAUGAUCUGUCAUAUGUCAGUAAUUGUGUCAGGAACUUGGUGAAUUUGGUGUGGCCUCUUGCUAAUCUAGGGCCUUUGUUCUUUUCCAUUUUCAGCACUGCUGUGUUUUCAGUUGGUUAUUCAGUUGUCUAUAAUUGAGACCCUUCAUGUGGGUCUGCUACUGGGAAAAACACUGCUCACAGCUCACUCUUCAGAGCUCUUGAAAGGAUGAAAUGGAGAGCUCUGCAGGUCAGGGACUACUUAGCUGGGUGAUGUGGCAGGUUCCCAUCGGCCCCACAAGAGAGCGACUGCAUCUAUUACAGAAGACAACGGAAGCUCUGACAGCUGCAUUAUGUCACCGUAUGUGGUCUAAGUCUAGAAAGUGAGCUUCCUCUGAGUUGUAUUCCAUUUUUUUGUUUGUUUGGUUGGUUUGGUUUGGUUGGUUUUGGUUUUUCAAGACAGGGUUUCUCUGUGUAGCUCUGGUUCUCCUGGAACUCACUCUGUAGACCAGGCUGGACUUGAACCUAUAGAGAUCCACCUGCCUCUGCCUCCCAAGUGUGGGAAUUAAAGGUGUGCGCCAGCACAUCCAGCUGUUCUGUACACUUUGUAAUUGUUGAAAACAACCUAUUGUCUGUGGAGUUUCAGACAGUUAAUAGAGCUCCAAAAUUUAUCACAUUUAUUUGCAAAAAACAUAAUUAUGAAAAACUAUGCAGUUUAUCCAAACAAAGCAAAACAUUAAGUAUGUGAACAUUCGAGUUUGACAGAGUAUAUACCAAGAGCUGAGGUGGAGAUUUGAAAACAGUAUUGGCUAGGGUAGCAUCCAUCCCUCACAUAAACCCUUCAAAGAAGAUGUGUGUGACUGUGACCUCAGAGAGAACUGUGUACCCACGUAAGAGGAGAUGGCACUGUGUCGGAUGGCUUGGUACGUCACGGCACCUUCUUCUUCACAUUGGUUCUGAAGCAGUGCCAUUCUCAUCCAGAUUUAGCUGGCUGCCUGUAACAUUUAUAUGGAAACACAGAGGACAUAGAAAAACAAGUUGAUUUUGAGAAUAAAGCUAGAAGAUUACCCUUUCCUGGUUUCCAGACUUCCUAUAUAGCUCUAGCAAUCAAGAUGGUUGGUACUGCAGAAGGGUAGAAAUGGAGAUCAAUGGGGCAAAACCGAGAGUCCAGAAAUAGAUUUGGUCAGUCAAUCUUGACAAAGGUGCAAAGGUAGUUCAAUGGAGGCAGCCUCCAGCAAAUAGUAAUCAGAGAGUCAUGCGCCUGGACUCCGUGUAAGGGGAAGGAGGGCCUGGUCUUCACCCUAGACUAUGCAGAAGUUACUCGAGGUGGCUGUAGAUGUAGUUUAUGUUACAGGACUGUGAAACCUGAGGGCAAAGCCAAAGGCUUGGGUUAGAGGAGACUGCUUGACUUGGUACCUUCUGUAAGAAGUGAAUGUCAGACUUCACAGAAAUUAAAAAGACAGGAUCAUGGAAACCAAGGCAUACCUGGAGGGUGCACUGAGCAGAGCCGUGUUUCCCAGGACUAUGCGUGAUGCCCAGACAGCUCUUAGGCCUCAGGAAUAUGAAGACUCAAUGGGAAGACAGGCAAGAGAUUGGAAUAUACACUUGACGACACACAGAGAACGGUGAAGUUCAUGGAAGAU